GCCAGUGUGGUGUAGUGGUUUCAGUGUUGGAUUAUAACUCUGGAGGUUAGGGUUCAAUUCCCCACUCCACCA